rnacentral:rRNA from 1 species
UACGUAGGUGGCAAGCGUUGUCCGGAUUUACUGGGCGUAAAGAGCGCGCAGGCGGUCGUUCAAGUCGCGGUGUGAAAGCCCCCCGGCUCAACUGGGGAGGGUCACGGCGAUACUGAUCGACUCGAAGGCAGGAGAGGGUAGUGGAAUUCCCGGUGUAGUGGUGAAAUGCGUAGAUAUCGGGAGGAACACCAGUGGCGAAGGCGAACUACCUGGCCUGUUCUUGACGCUGAGGCGCGAAAGCUAAGGGGAGCAAACGGGG